rnacentral:rRNA from 1 species
AUGGCAGCAGGCGCGAAAUUGUCACUCUUUUGAGAGGAGACAGUUAUGAAACGUGAGUAGAAGGGUCGAGUGUAAAAACCUUGACGUGAAGCAAUUGGAGGGCAAGUUUUGGUGCCAGCAGCCGCGGUAAUUCCAACUCCAAGAGUGUCUAUGGUGGAUGCUGCAGUUAAAGGGUCCGUAGUCGUAGAUGCAAUUAAAAGGUGGUGUUAAAAGCCAUUGAGUUUGUUGAGAGUAGCGGAACGGAUAGGGAGCAUGGUAUAGGUGGGCAAAGAAUGAAAUCUCAAGACCCCACCUGGACCAACGGAGGCGAAAGCGAUGCUCUUAGACGUAUCUGGGGAUCAAGGACGAAGGCUAGAGUAUCGAAAGUGAUUAGACACCGCUGUAGUUCUAGCAGUAAACUAUGCCGACAAUGCUGGGUGUUGCGAGAGCGAUGCUUGGUGUGGGAGAAAUCUUAGUUUUCGGGCUCUGGGGAUAGUACGCUCGCAAGGGUGAAACUUAAAGCGAAAUUGACGGAAGGACACUACCAGGAGUGGAUUGUGCUGCUUAAUUUAACUCAACGCGGGAAAACUUACCAGGGUCAAGUCUAUCGUAGAUUGGAGACAUGAGGUAGACAAGAGUGGUGCAUGGCCGUUGGAAAUUGAUGGGGCGACUUUUAGCUUAAGUGCUGGAACCAGUGAGAUCUUCUAGACAGGUGUUAUUUAGGCACAGGAGGGAGAAGGCAAUAACAGGUCCGUGAUGCCCUUAGAUAUCCUGGGCAGCAAGCGCAAUACAAUAUCUCUUGAGAAGACAAAGCAAUUUGAGAUGAGUAGGAUUAGCUUUUGUAAAUAAGCUAUGAAUGAGGAAUUCCUAGUAACAGUGUCUCAUCAAGGCAUUGUGAAUGUGUCCCUGUUCUUGUCCCCC